rnacentral:rRNA from 1 species
GAUGAACGCUAGCGGGAGGCUUAACACAUGCAAGUCGAGGGGCAGCAUAGGGUAGCAAUACUCUGAUGGCGACCGGCAAACGGGUGAGUAACGCGUAUGCAACCUACCCUGUACAGGGGGAUAACCCGGAGAAAUUCGGACUAAUAUCCCGUAAUAAUAUCCGGAGGCAUCUUUGGAUAUUUAAAGUUCCGACGGUACGGGAUGGGCAUGCGUAACAUUAACUGGUUGGUAAGGUAACGGCUUACCAAGGCUAUGAUGUUUAGGGGUCCUGAGAGGGUGGUCCCCCAACUGGUACUGAGACACGGACCAGACUCCUACGGGAGGCAGCAGUGAGGAAUAUUGGUCAAUGGGCGCAAGCCUGAACCAGCCAUCCCGCGUGCAGGAAGACGGCCCUAUGGGUUGUAAACUGCUUUUCCAGGGAGAGAAACUUACGCACGUGUUGCGUGACUGACGGUACCCUGGGAAUAAGCAUCGGCUAACUCCGUGCCAGCAGCCGCGGUAAAAGUGUAGUGUA